GUGAGGAAUAUUGGUCAAUGGGCGAGAGCCUGAACCAGCCAAGUCGCGUGAAGGAAGAAGGAUCUAUGGUUCGUAAACUUCUUUUGCAGGGAAUAAAGUGCGGGACGUGUCCUGUUUUGUAUGUACCCUGAGAAUAAGGAUCGGCUAACUCCGUGCCAGCAGCCGCGGUAAUACGGAGGAUCCGAGCGUUAUCCGGAUUUAUUGGGUUUAAAGGGUGCGUAGGUGGUUUGAUAAGUCAGCGGUGAAAGUUUGCAGCUUAACUGUAAAAAUGCCGUUGAAACUGUCGGACUUGAGUGUAAAUGAGGUAGGCGGAAUGCGUGGUGUAGCGGUGAAAUGCAUAGAUAUCACGCAGAACUCCGAUUGCGAAGGCAGCUUACUAAGCUACAACUGACACUGAAGCACGAAAGCGUGGGGAUCAAACAGGAUUAGAAACCCUAGUAGUCC
rnacentral:rRNA from 1 species